rnacentral:rRNA from 1 species
GACGAACGCUGGCGGCGUGCCUAAUACAUGCAAGUAGAACGCUGAAGGAGGAGCUUGCUUCUCCGGAUGAGUUGCGAACGGGUGAGUAACGCGUAGGUAACCUGCCUGGUAGCGGGGGAUAACUAUUGGAAACGAUAGCUAAUACCGCAUAACAGUAGAUGUUGCAUGACAUUUGCUUAAAAGGUGCAAUUGCAUCACUACCAGAUGGACCUGCGUUGUAUUAGCUAGUUGGUGAGGUGACGGCUCACCAAGGCGACGAUACAUAGCCGACCUGAGAGGGUGAUCGGCCACACUGGGACUGAGACACGGCCCAGACUCCUACGGGAGGCAGCAGUAGGGAAUCUUCGGCAAUGGACGGAAGUCUGACCGAGCAACGCCGCGUGAGUGAAGAAGGUUUUCGGAUCGUAAAGCUCUGUUGUAAGAGAAGAACGAGUGUGAGAGUGGAAAGUUCACACUGUGACGGUAUCUUACCAGAAAGGGACGGCUAACUACGUG